rnacentral:rRNA from 1 species
UACGUAGGGCGCAAGCGUUAUCCGGAAUUAUUGGGCGUAAAGAGCUCGUAGGCGGUUUGUCGCGUCUGCCGUGAAAGUCCGGGGCCCAACUCCGGAUCUGCGGUGGGUACGGGCAGACUAGAGUGAUGUAGGGGAGACUGGAAUUCCUGGUGUAGCGGUGAAAUGCGCAGAUAUCAGGAGGAACACCGAUGGCGAAGGCAGGUCUCUGGGCAUUAACUGACGCUGAGGAGCGAAAGCAUGGGGAGCGAACAGG